ACCAUCUUCCCCCUGUUAUAAAUACACCACUGCGGUACCGGUGUGCAGCAUUCGAUUAGGAAUGGCUCCGAUCUAAUUUCAAGCUUCUUUAAUUUAUAAUCUCGCGUUCGAGAUGAAACUCGAUCUUUUUUUGCAGGUUACUUUUUCGGGAUUAAAAGAUAUCUUAAAGUAAGAAUAAGCUUUUGAAAGAAGCGUAUGAGCAAUUGCUGCCUAUUAUAAAGUUGAAGAAUUGGUAAUUAAAAUUGUUUAACAUUGGAAGCACCAACGAUUAGGACUUAAAGUUUAUGUAAAAGGAGUGAAAAUGAAAGAAAGAAAUUAAUGGAAUUCAUUAUAUUGUAUCAUAUUAAGCUCAUACCUACAAUAAGGAUUCCAGAGUUAAGGAAUGCUACAAAUGCGUGAAUGUUAUUUUGAGGUUAUCGAUCUUCGCAACUAGAAGAUUCUUUUGUAAAGAUUUCGAAAGCGUGAUCUCGCCUGGAUAACUGUUUUGUGCAAGACAUUUGCACAUGCGCGACCAGCUUGAUUCCGUUCCUACUUUCCACCGGCCUCGAAUCUGGUAUAUCCUCACUUCCUUUAUCCCCACUGUAUCUAGCUAAGCGCGUGUGCGGUCGACACGUCAAUUAUAUCUGAAUCGAAGGCGACGUCUCAUCGUGAUUACGCCGCAAAAUAAAGGCAACCUGACUUUUCUUUAAUGGGUUCGGGGGUUCGUAGUUGUUUGCAUCAUUUUUCGCUAUCAUAAUCGUACAGUGAUCGUUAGGUAAAUUUGAAACCUUAAUAGCAGAUAAUGAACUCCUUCCCAUAGAAAAUUGCUGCACUUCGAUUGUUUAAUUUAACUUUGUCCUAAGUUAAACACCAUGUACUUAUUGAAUUGAACAAUCUAUUAUCGUUUAAGAAUUUGUUAGAUGUACAUUGACCUAUAUACUGCCUAUAAGUAAUUCAACUAAACCAUAGAAAUAAACUUUUAUCUUUUUUAUUUCAGUUCUAAAGGAAUUGAGCAUUAUCUGCAGCCAGUGACAAGCAUCGAGCUGACUUAUUCAUGUAAUCAGAAAGCAACAAAGUAGUGAUGUAAUUUCGCGGCAUUCCGCAUAAGUCGUUCACAAUACACCGUUUUAUCAUUAGCCGUUGGGAACAGAAGCGUAGGACUCCGCGAUUUAUGAAUGAUUCGGAGGAGUGAAUGAACGGGGUCGACGCAUGCGCACCAUCGGCCAGAUUCCAUUCCCAUUCCGAUCUCGCCUCUAUUCUCUGCUUUAUCCUUUUGCCGCGCUCUGCGUAGGUACCGUGAACGCACAACAGCUGUAGAAUUUAUAAAAAGGUCUGCUCGACCGACCGAUGAAGCCCUUAUCAAGGUCUUUCCACCAUUAUAGAGGUGUUAGUGGAAGGAAGGAAGAACGCGUGUUUCUUUCACCGUUACGGAAAUAUUUACACAACCAUGUGCAAACCAACUUACGCCAGGAUAAAUUAGACUGCUGUCGGCUUUGUCAUUUCACCAACCGACAAGUAAUGAGCAUCGAUACCUCGAAGAAAGAGCAUUUGUGAUGCAUAUGACAGUCAUAAUAACAGGUUACAACUUGUCUGUACAAGCCGUGAACGAAGGCCUCCCAUUUAAAAUUCGCAGCUGAUAGUCAAAAGGUGACAAAGCUACUGAAUAUUGAACGAACAAAAACUUCGUGAAGGAUUGUUCAACGUAGUUUACUAACACAACGAUUUAUGAUCUGAUAUAUUUAUGGAGAUGAUUUUCUCUCGUACAACGUUCACGGUGAAAAACAUGCAAUUUUCUUCUGCCUUUGCAACUUUCGAUCGUAACUCCUCGAUAUUCCAACAACUAAGCGAUUUAAUCUGAAUACAGGUUGUUCCAAAGCAAUAAGACCAAUUUAGACAUGACUAAAGUCGCGAAAUUUUCCCAAAAAAUUUGGAUAAACGGCGGCGUUAAUUAAGCUAAUACGAAACGUGAUAUGCAACAAUUACAAUUUAAUGGGACCAGGUCACGGUGAAGAGCGCACCGCAACAUAACUGUUUAUUAAGUAUCUCGUCGCCCACGUUAAUUGAGAAGUUACUGUCGAAUUGAUAGCUCCGACGUAAAGUAACCUUAAUCGCAGCCGAAGCAUUUUAAUUAGACCUGCUCUCACGAUAAUUAAAUGAAAAAUGUUUGGGAACAUUGCAUGCUACAGCAUAUUAACGCACGUGAUUUUUACUUUUAUGAUACGCGGAAAUCAAUUACAUACUUUUUUGUCAAUCAAUUUCAUUUGGAAAGGAAGGCAAUACUGAAUAGUUUAUACUGCAAUGGUUUUGUGUUCAAGACAAACAUCGUAGCAGCAUUUUUCCCAUUUGUCGCAAUCCUCGUCGCCGUGGCAAGAAGUUGGUGGCAGUGAGUACCA